UGGGGAAUAUUGCGCAAUGGGGGGAACCCUGACGCAGCCAUGCCGCGUGAAUGAAGAAGGCCUUAGGGUUGUAAAGUUCUUUCGGUAUUGAGGAAGGUUGAUGUGUUAAUAGCACAUCAAAUUGACGUUAAAUACAGAAGAAGCACCGGCUAACUCCGUGCCAGCAGCCGCGGUAAUACGGAGGGUGCGAGCGUUAAUCGGAAUAACUGGGCGUAAAGGGCACGCAGGCGGUUAUUAAAGUGAGGUGUGAAAGCCCCGGGCUUAACCUGGGAAUUGCAUUUCAGACUGGGUAACUAGAGUACUUUAGGGAGGGGUAGAAUUCCACGUGUAGCGGUGAAAUGCGUAGAGAUGUGGAGGAAUACCGAAGGCGAAGGCAGCCCCUUGGGAAUGUACUGACGCUCAUGUGCGAAAGCGUGGGGAGCAAACAGGAUUAGAUACCCUGGUAGUCCACGCUGUAAACGCUGUCGAUUUGGGGGUUGGGGUUUAACUCUGGCGCCCGUAGCUAACGUGAUAAAUCGACCGCCUGGGGAGUACGGCCGCAAGGUUA
rnacentral:rRNA from 1 species